rnacentral:rRNA from 1 species
AUUGAACGCUGGCGGCAGGCCUAACACAUGCAAGUCGAACGGGUGGCGGACGGGUGGGCAAGGUCUGAGAACCUGCCUGACGGAGGGGGAUAACUACGGGAAAACGUAGCUACAGCCGCAUACCGUCGUAAGUGCCGAGAUGGGUUAAGCUAGUAGGUGGGGUAACGGCUCACCUCGGGGACGCUCCCCAGCUGGUCUGAGAGGAUGACCAGCAACACUGGAACAGAGACACGGUCCAGACGCCUACGGGAGGCAGCAGUGGGGAAUAUUGCACAAUGGGCGCAAGCCUGAUGCAGCCACGCCGCGUGUAUGAAGAAGGCCUUCGGAUUGUAAAGUACUUUCAUCGGAGAGGCGUUACCCGCAGAAGAAGCCCCGGCUAACUCCGUGCCAGCAGCCGCGGUAAUUC